UAAUAAGAAGCAAAUAAUUGCAUUUAAUUUCGACUUAAAAAUUUGGUUUUUACCCUUAUUAA
rnacentral:tRNA from 1 species